rnacentral:piRNA from 1 species
CCUGGUUGCCCCUAUGGGGACUCGGCUAUCC